rnacentral:rRNA from 1 species
AACGAACGCCGGCGGCAUGCCUAACACAUGCAAGUCGAACGCGUGGAGCGAUCCACGAGUGGCGCACGGGUGAGUAACGCGUGGGAACCUGCCCUGGAGUGUGGGAUAACCCGGCGAAAGCCGGGCUAAUACCGCAUACGACCUGAGGGUGAAAGAUUUAUCGCUCUAGGAGGGGCCCGCGUCGGAUUAGCUAGUUGGUGGGGUAAUGGCUCACCAAGGCGAUGAUCCGUAGCUGGUCUGAGAGGAUGAUCAGCCACACCGGGACUGAGACACGGCCCAGACUCCUACGGGAGGCAGCAGUGGGGAAUAUUGGACAAUGGGGGCAACCCUGAUCCAGCAAUGCCGCGUGGGCGAUGAAGGCCUUCGGGUUGUAAAGCCCUUUUGCACGCGACGAUGAUGACGGUAGCGUGAGAAGAAGCCCCGGCUAACUUCGUGCCAGCCGCCGCCGUAA